CUGCCAGGUUGUCUAAAAUGUAUUGAAGGAAACAACACUAAUGCCCCCCCCCAGAUAGGACAACAGAAGAAUAGAAAAGAAAACAAUUCCCUUAAAGGAGAGAAAACAGGGUGGAGGAAGGGGGAGAAGCAAUGAAAGAAGAAAGACUUGGAUAUUUUGUUAAAUAUAUUUGGAAAUUAUACCUGGAUCCCUGUAAUCCUAAAUUCAACAUGAAGAAGGGACCUGAAUGCUACUACACAUCUGCCUGCUGAUUUCCAAACCAUCUUAUAGAAUUUCCAAAAUAGCUUAUGCAAUAUAUGACCUGGAGAGAAGGCACAUUUUCUUCCAGGAAAGAAAAAGGAAGAAAGGUCAAGCUUUACUGCCUCCCUCUUCCCAGAGGAAAGAUGGAAUAUGGAGGCUCAAAGGCCUGCCACGGUGGCUACAACAUUUCAACCCUGGAGGGGCAGAAAGAAGCAAGGAAAAACACCCCUCUAAGACCAGCCUGUGCUUUGUGAGUUUUGAUGAUCUUCCCUCUUUCCUUGCCCAAAGGAAACCUGUUUGUGACAUCUGGGGAAGAUGA
rnacentral:lncRNA from 1 species